rnacentral:lncRNA from 1 species
CUGGAAUAUCCAAUAACUGUCAUCUUGCAUGUCAAGCUGGGAAUGAAAAUGUGAAAAACAAGCAGGUUAUUAGUGGUAGCGAAGAUGUUUGGUUGUUUAGCAUUUCUUUCAUGUUUUUAAGUGACUUGUGUUGCUCUUACUUAUAUUUGAGAAUGAUCCCUCAUUUGCAGGAGUAGACGUGAUUGGCGAUAUAAAUUAAGAGGAUGUCAUUAUACAUGUUUGCAAUGAAUGACGCAUACAAUAUCGGCCACAAGAGAGUGGUGUGGUCGGAGCUUUAAUAUCCUUCUCAGUUUACCAUUUUUGCUUAAAUCUCACAUAUUUCCAAUCAAUUGGUAGUGUACAAUUGUAGAGCGUUGCAUAUAAAAAAAAUUGGAAAGACGAAAUUAGGUAGUCAAAGUUCAGAUAUGCACUUUCCAUCGAUAAAAUUAAUGACCUGUUCGACAGCCAGAUCAAGUGCAGAAGUUACAGCAGCCAAAUUUUGUAGGAAUUCUUCAGCAGUUGGUUUGUCACCGUCAAUAAUAUCAGUCACAGCUUUUACAAAAAUUGCAGGAACUUUAAGAAGGUCAGCAACAUAAGCAACAGCUGCUCCCUGUGGAAUAUUUAACAAAGGAUAGAGAAAUACGAACAACUGUCAGUUACUUAGGUCUCUGUAAUUUAGAAUGUGAUUUAUUUGAUAGAACAAUGUAUCAUAUGUCAAUAUGCAGAUUCAUCAUGUCAUCCCCAAUAAAUCAACCAAAUGUUCCAACUUCUAAGCUCUAGAAAACAAACCAUGUAUUGCAUACCUCCAUAUCUUUGACAGUUGCAUCAUUUGCCGUGAUUGAUGAUUCAUCCUGCGGUGUCAUAUCUAAAGAGUCACCAGUAGACAAUUUAGCCACCUGGAAUACGUGCAAAUAUGGUUGAAGGUUCAGUUUUGCUUGAAUAAAGUAGUUAAGAAAAGGAUUGGAUUUCAUAAAGCAAACCAAAA